rnacentral:rRNA from 1 species
GAACGUAUCACCCAAGACAACUUUACGGAGUUGACGAUUGACGGAGCGAAGCGACGUCAAAGCGUUCAUUAAAGUCGAGUUGGCUUAGGGAUACGUUCGUUGGGUAGGGGAGCGUUCUGUAAGCCUGUGAAGGUGGCCUGUGAGGGUUGCUGGAGGUAUCAGAAGUGCGAAUGCUGACAUAAGUAACGAUAAUGCGGGUGAAAAACCCGCACGCCGGAAGACCAAGGGUUCCUGUCCAACGUUAAUCGGGGCAGGGUGAGUCGACCCCUAAGGCGAGGCCGAAAGGCGUAGUCGAUGGGAAACAGGUUAAUAUUCCUGUACUUGGUGUUACUGCGAAGGGGGGACGGAGAAGGCUAUGUUAGCCGGGCGACGGUUGUCCCGGUUUAAGCAUGUAGGCGGAGGUUCCAGGUAAAUCCGGUACCUUAUUAACGCUGAGGUGUGAUGACGAGGCACUACGGUGCUGAAGUAACAAAUGCCCUGCUUCCAGGAAAAGCCUCUAAGCAUCAGGUAACAUCAAAUCGUACCCCAAACCGACACAGGUGGUCAGGUAGAGAAUACCAAGGCGCUUGAGAGAACUCGGGUGAAGGAACUAGGCAAAAUGGUGCCGUAACUUCGGGAGAAGGCACGCUGACACGUAGGUGAAGUGAUUUACUCA